rnacentral:rRNA from 1 species
GAUGAACGUUGGCGGCGUGCCUAACACAUGCAAGUCGAACGAUAGUCGCAAGACUAUAGUGGCGCACGGGUGAGUAACACGUAGCUUACCAGCCUCUCAGCGCGGGAUAACGGCUCGAAAGAGGUGCUAAUACCGCAUAAGCUCACGGGAUGUAGAGACUAGUGAAGAAAAGGUGCAAAUCACUGAGAGACGGGGCUGCGGCCCAUCAGCUAGNGGUGCGGUAACGGCGCACCAAGGCGAC